UUGAACGCUGGCGGCAGGCCUAACACAUGCAAGUCGCACGGUAACAGGAAGAAGCUUGCUUCUUUGCUGACGAGUGGCGGACGGGUGAGUAAUGUCUGGGAAACUGCCUGAUGGAGGGGGAUAACUACUGGAAACGGUAGCUAAUACCGCAUAACGUCGCAAGACCAAAGGGGGGGACCUUCGGGCCUCUUGCCAUCGGAUGUGCCCAGAUGGGAUUAGCUAGUAGGUGGGGUAACGGCUCACCUAGGCGACGAUCCCUAGCUGGUCUGAGAGGAUGACCAGCCACACUGGAACUGAGACACGGUCCAGACUCCUACGGGAGGCAGCAGUGGGGAAUAUUGCACAAUGGGCGCAAGCCUGAUGCAGCCAUGCCGCGUGUAUGAAGAAGGCCUUCGGGUUGUAAAGUACUUUCAGCGGGGAGGAAGGGAGUAAAGUUAAUACCUUUGCUCAUUGACGUUACCCGCAGAAGAAGCAUCGGCUAACUCCGUG
rnacentral:rRNA from 1 species